GUGGGGAAUAUUGCGCAAUGGGGGCAACCCUGACGCAGCCAUGCCGCGUGAAUGAAGAAGGCCUUCGGGUUGUAAAGUUCUUUCGGUAGCGAGGAAGGCACUUAGUUUAAUAAACUAGGUGAUUGACGUUAACUACAGAAGAAGCACCGGCUAACUCCGUGCCAGCAGCCGCGGUAAUACGGAGGGUGCGAGCGUUAAUCGGAAUAACUGGGCGUAAAGGGCACGCAGGCGGUGACUUAAGUGAGGUGUGAAAGCCCCGGGCUUAACCUGGGAAUUGCAUUUCAUACUGGGUCGCUAGAGUACUUUAGGGAGGGGUAGAAUUCCACGUGUAGCGGUGAAAUGCGUAGAGAUGUGGAGGAAUACCGAAGGCGAAGGCAGCCCCUUGGGAAUGUACUGACGCUCAUGUGCGAAAGCGUGGGGAGCAAACAGGA
rnacentral:rRNA from 1 species